GUGAACCUGCGGAAGGAUCAUUGUCGAAACCAUGCAAGGCAGACCGCGAACACGUGAUUAACGCCGUCGCGGGUGCGGUGCGGGGGCACGUCCCCCCGUCGCGUCCGUGACCCCCCGCCGGCGCAUGCCAGCGUGCGCCGUACGGGCUAACGAACCCCGGCGCGGAACGCGCCAAGGAAAACGUAAACGAAGCGCCCUCCCCUGUCUGUGCCCCGUUCGCGGUGUGCUCCGGACGGGUGGAAGGCUGCGCCUCACGUAGAAUGUCAAAACGACUCUCGGCAACGGAUAUCUCGGCUCUCGCAUCGAUGAAGAACGUAGCGAAAUGCGAUACUUGGUGUGAAUUGCAGAAUCCCGUGAACCAUCGAGUCUUUGAACGCAAGUUGCGCCCAAAGCCUUCGGGCCGAGGGCACGCCUGCCUGGGCGUCACGCAUCGCGUCGCCCCCUCCCCCAGCUCCCACGGAGCUGGCGGGGCGGGGGCGGAGAGUGGCCUCCCGUGCGCUCCCGUCGUGCGGCCGGCCCAAAUGCGAUCCCUCGGCGGCGCCAGUCGCGACCAGUGGUGGUUGAACCCUCAACUCGCGUGCUGAUAGUCGUGCGCAGUGGCGCCGUCCGGCCGGGCAUCACCGCGACCCAAUCGGUGCCUCGGCACCUUCGACCGCGACCCCAGGUCAGGCGGGAUUACCCG
rnacentral:rRNA from 1 species